rnacentral:rRNA from 1 species
CCUACGGGUGGCAGCAGUGAGGAAUAUUGGUCAAUGGGAGAGAUCCCGAACCAGCCAAGCCGCGUGAGGGAAGACGGCCCUAUGGGUUGUAAACCUCUUUUGUCGGAGAACAAAACCCGGGACGAGUCCCGGACUGCGUGUAUCCGACGAAAAAGCAUCGGCUAACUCCGUGCCAGCAGCCGCGGUAAUCCGGAGGUUGCGAGCGUUAUCCGGUUUUAUUGGGUUUAAAGGGUGCGUAGGGGGUGUGUGAAGUCAGAGGUAAAAUUGCGGGGCUCAACCGCGUCGAGACGUUGAAACUGGCAGGCUGGAGUUGGCGAGAAGUACGCGGAAUGCGCGGUGUAGCGGUGAAAUGCAUAGAUAUCGCGCAGAACUCCGGUUGCGAAGGCAGCGUACCGGCGUCAGACUGACGCUGAGGCACGAAAGCGUGGGGAUCGAACAGGAUUAGAUACCCGAGUAGUC